rnacentral:rRNA from 1 species
UACGUAGGAGACGAGCGUUGUCCGGAGUUACUGGGCGUAGAGGGUGCGCAGGUGGCGGCGCGCGUGGGGGGUGAAAUCGCCCGGCUUAACUGGGCGGGGGCCUUCCAGACGGCGUGGCUUGAGCAGCGGAGGGGGACGUGGAAUUCCGGGUGGAGCGGUGAAAUGCGUAGAUAUCGGGAGGAACACCUGUGGCGAAAGCGGCUCACUGGACCACAACUGACGCUGAGGCGCGAAAGCUAGGGGAGCAAACAGG